rnacentral:rRNA from 1 species
CGCGGCCUUCAGCUUGUUGGUGGGGUAACGGCCUACCAAGGCAACGAUGGGUAGCUGGUCUGAGAGGAUGAUCAGCCACACUGGCACUGGAACACGGGCCAGACUCCUACGGGAGGCAGCGGUGAGGAAUAUUGGGCAAUGGGCGAAAGCCUGACCCAGCCACGCCGCGUGUGUGAUGAAGGCCUUCGGGUCGUAAAGCACUGUGGGGAGAGACGAACAUGCGCAGGAGGAAAUGCCUGCGUACUGACGGUACCUCCUUAGCAAGCACCGGCUAACUCUGUGCCAGCAGCCGCGGUAAUACAGAGGGUGCAAACGUUGCUCGGAUUUACUGGGCGUAAAGCGCGUGUAGGCGGACUCGCAAGUCGGUUGUGAAAUCCCUGGGCUUAACCUAGGAACUGCAUCCGAAACUGCUUGUCUUGACUAAUGGAGAGGGUGGCGGAAUUCCCGGUGUAGAGGUGAAAUUCGUAGAUAUCGGGAGGAACAUCAGUGCCGAAGGCGGCCACCUGGACAUUUACUGACGCUGAGACGCGAAAGCGUGGGGAGCAAACAGGAUUAGAUACCCUGGUAGUCCACGCCGUAAACGAUGAGAACUAGGUGCAGCGGAUAUUGACCUCUGCUGUGCCGUAGCUAACGCGUUAAGUUCCCCGCCUGGGGAGUACGG